rnacentral:rRNA from 1 species
UUCGCAAUGCCCGAAAGGGUGACGAAGCGACGCCGCGUGCGGGAAGAAGGCCUUCGGGUUGUAAACCGCUGUCGGGAGUUAAGAAAUGCAAGGGUGUAAAUAGCAUCCUUGCUUGACUAAGGCUCCAGAGGAAGCCACGGCUAACUCUGUGCCAGCAGCCGCGGUAAUACAGAGGUGGCAAGCGUUGUUCGGAAUUAUUGGGCGUAAAGAGCACGUAGGCGGCUCUGCAAGUCAGCUGUGAAAGCCUUCUGCUUAACGGAAGAACAGCAGUUGAUACUACAGAGCUGGAGUGCGGGAGGGGAGAGUGGAACUUCUGGUGGAGCGGUGAAAUGCGUAGAUAUCAGAAGGAACGCCGGCGGCGAAAGCGACUCUCUGGCCCGUAACUGACGCUGAGUGUGCGAAAGCUAGGGGAGCAAACGGGAUUAGAUACCCCGGUAGUCCUAGCCGUAAACGAUGGGCACUAAGUAGAGGGGUUUU